UCCCCAACUGCGACUGAGCUGGUGAAUCUCCAGUGCCGACAGGGAAUGGAAUGUCUUCCCACAGUCCCCACAUUCCCACAGCUUCUCCACAGUUCCUUUGGCUCUCUGUUUUCGAUGAACAAUUGAAACUGUGACCACACUCAGGAAACGUGUACAGUCACUCCUUGCUGUGAACAGUGUCAUGUUUCUUCAGUCUGUAACUGGUAAAAGCUCCUUCCCAUAGUAAGCUCACUGGGAAUCUUUCUAUUUAACUUUCUCUCUGUCUCAAAGAAUGUGCAACUGGUUAAAGCACAUCCCACACUCAGCUCACUGGGACACAUUGCACAGACUGAGACAAUGGGUUAAAUCUCUUCCCAUAGUCAGCUCAGUGGACCACACACUCUCUCCAACUUGUCUGUGCUGACCAGAUAUCCUAAAUUAAUCUCAUCACAUUUUCCAUCAUUUGGCUCGUAUCUCUCCAAACUCUUCCUAUUCAUGUACCCCUCCAGACGCCUUUUAAAUGUUGUAAUUGUAGCAGCCUCCAUCAAUUCCCCUCGCAGCUCAUUCCACACAUGCACCACUUUCUGCGUGAAAAAGUUACUCCUGAGGUCCCUUUUAAAUCUUUCCCCCUUCUCACCCUCAACCUAUGUCCUCCAGUUUUGGACACCCACACCCCAGGGACACCUUGUCUAUUUACCCUGUUCAUGCCCUUCAUGAUUUGAUCAACCCAUCAGCCUCCGAUGCUCCACGGAAAUAGCCUCAGUCUAUUCAUCCUCUUCCUAUAGCUCAAACUCUCCAACCCCGAUAGCAUCCUUAAAACAGAGAGACAUGGACCUACCUAUCCAGAGUUUGUCCCCUCCCUAGAUUCACUUACGUUCCUGCAAAUCAACAGUUUAAUUCCAGAACGUAAGAAGAAAUGGAAAAGGAGAAAGUAAAGAAAAGAGAGUAUUGUGCACACAGAUAUUGAACAGAAGAAGGAAGUUGCAGUCUGAGGUGAAGCUCUUCGUUCAGAGAGAGGAACAGCAGUUUCAGAAGCUCACAGUCUAACUUCCGCAUUCAGACAAGAGGCGGGCUGUGAUUGGCAGAAGGGCCAGACUGUUUCUAGUCCUCCAAGGCUUCCGAUUGGUCAAUCCGCAUCCGUAGCCCUCGCCUUCAAUUGUUGACGUCACAACGCGGAAGCAGCCCUAUCCUCGUUUCAGGGUGAAACUCUCUCUGGACAACGUCUGGGAGCAAAGCAAUGUCUCCUUUCCAUUCCUCAACCAGGAAGGAAGAGAGAGGAGGGGAAACAUUGUUCACUUAUAGUAAGUGGAGGUUGAGGUUGAGAACACUGGGAGCAAGCGGACUCUGCAAAGGAUAACAGAAAAGAAGAAUUUGGAAGCAGAAAUCUCAAACCAAACUUCACGUCAGUGUCAGGUAGUCAGUUCAUUCACCCAAGAUGUCAAUAUUGAAGGCUUUGAAAACCAGGAGGAGAAACGAGAUCUGUCUGUUCUGUCUGCUUUGCUAGUUUUGAAAUCUGUGUGAUUGGAAAAUGAGUAUCCCAGUGAGCAAUCGUUCUCUCCCUCUCCAGGGCCCAGAAUAAAAAUGGAGAAGAUAAAGCCAUACUGCAUCUGAGUAUUUGCUUCGACUGAUACAGGGAUAGGGAAACGUGCUGGCAUGGGUGCAAUACAGCCUGGUAUGGCAACUGCACUGCCCAGGACAUUAAGAAACUACAGAAGGUUGUGUGCACAGCCCCGACCAUCACAGAAGCCAACGUCUCGUCCAUGGACUCCAUUUACGUUAAUUAAAAAGAAAGAUAUGAUCCCACAAGAACAGACAAGUGAUAAGGCUUAUUAAUGAAAGAAUUCUCACAUCAGAUCUAAUCCUGUUACUUUAUUCAGACUGUAAACACAACUUUUUAACACAACUAGUAAACAUUAAUUUUGCUUGUAUGUCCAGUAAUGAGGACAGUAAACUUAAGUGAGUAUAACAUGGGGACAAAGAAACUCCUCACACUGACAGUAAGGUAACAAUAAAGCAUUGACAUAUCGCUAA